AUCUGCUUUUUGUGUGCAACAUUUUAGCAACAGGAACUACAAACCUGAUACUGCUUUCCUAUUUCUUGCAUAUUUUCUGGAUCUAAAAAGAACACUACAUUUGAAAAGAAGACUCUGGUUUCAGACCUGAUUCUUGAUAGCCAGCCUGUGUAUUUCCACUGAAUGUGCAGGAGCCAGUUGUUGGUGUUGUGAAAGGAAGGAGAGAAAAUGUUGUAGUCUCCAGCCAUCAUCCCCCCCUGACUGCUGCAGUCACCUGGAGGUUGUUUGGUUCUGACCUUCCUUCUCCUUCAGUCAAUGUAAUUCUUACCUGUUUUAUGGCUCUACCACUUGUUAUGUCUUGUGCAUUUUUGAAUUUAAACUGUGUGUUCUCUGAGGCACAGAUUAUGAAUAGACUUGUACUGUAUGGCUGUUUAAAAAAAUUCUAAGAUGCAAGCAAAUGAGAGGAAAUUAAUUGUGGACUUUCUAGUUUAUAACAUUCCUGCUAAUUCCAAGCACUAAGCACAAAGAAUAAUUAAAAUCCUUAGAUUUAUACAGUGAGAUGCUUUAAAACAGACUAACUUGAAAACUGUAAGGAGAAAAGGUAGGCUGAAAAAUUAGAAGAAUGAAAAAAUGUAAGCUACCUAAAGACUCUUUUCAUGAGCAGCAGAGGAGGCAAUGAAAACCUCAUAUUACUGUAUGUUGAAUGAUUUCCUCAGUUCUGGUGAAGAGCUUUCAUUUUACAAGAGUUGUUUUUGCCAGUGCUGAGAGAUCCAAAGAAUUUAAAGGAUGAGAUGCAGAUCUUCAAUCUCUUCUGCAGUGAAAAAUCUUUAAUACACUUUACAGGGAGACCAAAGACUGCUAUUUAUUUCCUUUUGUCUUUUGGAAGUGAAAGUUUGGUUUGUCCCAGAUUCUUGAAAAAUCCAUGCAAAAAAGUCUCCAUAAGGUGUGAUUCACAGCUUUUACAGUGUAGACAAAUAAGGAACAGCUUGUGUUCUUGCUAAGCAGAUUAUCAGGAGAGGUUGCAGAGGUCCUUUCUAGAGAACAACUCACUCUUGUACUUUGUUGUAAUACUAGCAGGCCCUAUCAAAGUGGAGAUGAACACUACAUAUUUUUUCAUAACUGACAUCACCACUAAAUUUUAGGAAAGCUAACUUCCAGCUCUUCAGGGAGUUAGUCAACACAACACCUUAGGGAACCGUCCUCAUGAGCAAAGGAACAAAAAAGAGCUCCCAGAUAUGGCGAGUCAGGAAAGGAAGGCAAGAGACCAGUGUGGCUGAACUGGGAUUUGUUGGUCAAACUGGUGAGCAAGAAGAAAAUGCACAGGCAGUGGAAACAGGGACAGGUACUGUGGGAAGAGCAUAACAAAGCUGCUAGGCUGUGAAGGGAUGGGAUCAGGAAAGCCAAGGCCCAGCUUGAUCUAAAUUUGGCAAGAGAUGCCAAGAAAAACAAGAAAAGCUUCUACGGGUACCUCAGUCAGAAAAGGAAAGUCCAGGAGGGUGUACCUCCCCAGUGAGUGACACAGGCAGGCUGGUAACAAAAGACAAGAAGAAGGCUGAAGAACUUAACUUUUUUUGCCUCAAAACCGGUCCUCCUUGAAGCUAUGUUAAGGCACAUGGAAGGCAGGGAGGUGAUACAGGAGAACCAGCAUGGCUUCACCAAGGGCAAAUCCUGCUUGACCAACCUGGUGGCCUUUUAUGAUGGUGUAACUGCAUCAGUGGACCAGAGAAGUGUCACGGAUGUGAUCUAUCUGGACUUCAGUAAGGCCUUUGACACAGUACCAAACAUCCUCUCCAAAUUGAAAAGAUAUGGAUUUGAUGGGUGGACUGUUUAAUGGACAAAGAACUGGCUGCAGGAUUGAGUCCAGAGAAUGGUGAUCAGUGGCUCUGUAUCUGGAUGGAGAUAAGUGAUGAGUGGUGUUCCCCAGGGGUCGGUGCUGGAACUGAUACUCAUUAAAGAGUAUCGUCUUCAUCAGUGACAUUGACAGCGGGGUUGAGCGCACCCUCAGCGAGUUUGCUGAUGACACCAAGUUGUGGAGUACAGUUGACACAUCAGAGGGAUGGGAUGCCAUCCAGAGGGACCUUGACAGGCUGAGCAGUGGGCCCAAGAGACCCUCAUGAGGUUCAACAAAUCCAAGUGCAAGGCCUUGCACCUGGAUGGAGACCACAUCCACUACCAAUAGGAGAUGAGAUUAGGAUUAGAGAUGAGAAUAGGAUUGAGAGCAGCCUUGCAGAAAAAGACCUGGG
ensembl:lncRNA